CUUAAACGAACGAUCUUCAUGCAAAAAAAAAAAAAAACUUUUUGUGGUGUGACGUUCGCGCGCUCGAGGUAGAAUAGGCGUAGAUGUUUCUUUCUUUUACAAAACGUAUUUCCUUCUUUCUCGCUUUUCUUAUUUUACCUUUCUCUUUCUCUUUUUUU
rnacentral:ribozyme from 1 species